GAUGAAGAACGUAGCAAAAUGCGAUAAGUAAUGUGAAUUGCAGAAUUCAGUGAAUCAUCGAAUCUUUGAACGCACAUUGCGCCCGCCAGUAUUCUGGCGGGCAUGCCUGUUCGAGCGUCAUUUCAACCCUCAAGCACAGCUUGGUGUUGGGACUCGCGUUAAUUCGCGUUCCCCAAAUUGAUUGGCGGUCACGUCGAGCUUCCAUAGCGUAGUAGUAAAACCCUCGUUACUGGUAAUCGUCGCGGCCACGCCGUUAAACCCCAACUUCUGAAUGUUGACCUCGGAUCAGGUAGGAAUACCCGCUGAACUUAAGCAUGUCAAUAAGCGGAGGA
rnacentral:misc_RNA from 1 species